AGUGUAUAGAUUUGCAAGAAAAUUAGCUUUAAAACAGCAACAUUUUCUCUCUGCCAACAAGAGGGGUGUGAACAGUUUGUGUCGUGAACAGUGCUUGUGCCCAUAGAAAUGGACGUGGGUUGUUGCCCAAUGCUGGAAGCGGGGCCUGAGUGAAAAGGUUUGGGAACCUACAGCCUACAUGAUGUCAGUACAACAACAAGAAUGAUGUCCCAUUAUGUGAUCACUGUGACAGCUGUCACCUAUGACCUUUUACACAUUUAAAAAGCUUCCAUCUAAACAACCCCCACUGACCCACAUGAGUGUUUCACCGCACCCUUCCUAGAAAAACUGGAGAAGUCUGUUUCUGGUAUAUCUCCCUCCUAGUCGAUUUGUAGCAAGGGAUCUAUAUGACUGGUUUUGCAUUUAGGAAAGUUCUGAUCUCAUGAUUAUCUUAUUGUCACUCCCUACAGUAAUUUCCUCAGUGACUACCACAGAAAGACAUGUUAAUUCAUGUUCAGGCUUUAGGCUAUAUGAAUCCCCCUCAACGAGAUAGCCCAGUACUGUAGCAUGUAAGCUUUCUCUUGCUUGAGUGUGCAUACGGAAGUAUUAUUUUUGGCUUUCAGUACAGAUAUGCCAUUUCUGUAUAAGGAAGUUCUAAUAAUCUAAUAUCCUCUUUUUUUUAAAUAUUUACCCCUCUUCAAUCCUGAUGCAGGUGGUAAAGUCAAACCAAAGAGUAAAUACACCAGACAUGAACAUCACCAAAAAUACAUUUAGCAUGGAGGACUCUGGUCGAGGAGCCAGCUACACAGUGCCCUGUGACGACUACGUCCAUGUGGUGGAGUUUAGCCCCUUUGACAGUGGCUCAGUUGCGUCCCUCUUGGCCUAUUGAGGAAGCCAAUAUGUGGUUGUAGGCACCUGCCGCUUCCAGGUGAGUGGUAGCCUGCCAGAUUCCUCUUCCUCAUGUCCUCUUUUCUAGCCUCCCUUCUCAAAAGGCAUCAGAAGAGAAGAUCCUCCCAAGGUUCUUCUCUGAGGAAGCAUGGAUAGGGGACACAAGGAAAUGAGCCAGUGUUUUGGUUCCAUGUGUGAUGUAAACCACUGCUGUAUGUGUGACGUUAACCACUGUUUGUGCAGGAGGAGGACAUGGAGGAAGUGGGGGUUGAAUUCACCACACUGCGUUUUUUCCAUUAUGCGUUACGUAUGUAUUGCCUCGCAUGGAGCCCUGAGUCUCGGCUGGACAAGCUGCCCCAACUCAUCAGAUUUUGCACUGCUGCAGCAGACAGAAAAGUGAGGCUGUUGACUUCUGAUCUUCAGAAUCAACAUGAAGUCAAGGUGAUGGAGGGUCACACCAGCUACAUCAACCACUUAGUGUUUGAACCCACGGAGGGGAAACAAAUGGCUUCGGUCAGCGAUGACCAUACAUGCAGGUCAGUCCGAACCUCCUCCCGGUCUCAUUCAGCAAGAAUAAUAUGAGUGUGUGAGAGUGUGUCUUCCCCCAGCUCUUGGAUCUGUGUUCUGUUCUCUGUUAAUGGUGCAGAACGUCCUGACUGUGUUUCCAAAAUGAAACCCAAUGCUUAGCACAACACACCCCGGUGUUGCCGUGCGUAAGCACACAGCCGCUUCUCCAGCUUUUUAAAGUAAUUGGUUAAAUAUGGAAAUCCAAUUAGCUGCGGUACUGGUGGAGGUUGUUCCCCUCCUUAGGGUUGACUCUUAACAAGGUCCCCCAAUGUGGCCUAUCAAUCAGUAGCUAGGUAGUGGAGCAAGGAAGGAAAGAGUGUGUCGUUAGCCAAAGGGGUAACCUGGGCACAGGAGGUUGGUGGUACCUUAAUUUGGGAGAGCGAGCUCAUGGUAAUGACUGGAGCAGAAUCAGUGGAAUGGUAUCAAAUCCAUGGUUUCCAGGUGUUUGCUAUUCCAUUAGCUCCGUUCCGGCUAUUAUUAUGAGCCGUUCUCCCCUCAGCAGCCUCCACUGAACCUGAGGGGACCUCCUGUUACCUUAGUAACUAGGUUGUUGCUAGGGUCUAGACAGGGCGAAAGCCUGGCCCAAAUCUUACUCCCUCUUUGCUCCUUCCCACACAAUGUGAGCUCUUAUUGUUUGACCAGUGAUUGAUGGGGGAGAACGUUUAAUCAAGUUAGCAGCUUAGAAAUUAAUGACUGGCCCCUACUUUUCUCUCCGCUAGAGCCUGAAAGAGCACGUCCCUCAUAUCCAUCUUUAAACCCAAAGCUCCCUGGAUGAGAAACACACCUGAAACAUCUGCUUCUAUUCAUAAACUCAUAAUUUCAGGAGCCUGAAGCUCGCGGUUACACUUCCAGUCAUCAAAUACAGGCCAUGGUUGAAUUAUCUCCUCAAUCUCCUUCCGCCCUGCUUAAAUGCUCUAAAGUGUUGGUUAGGAUGAGGGCUGUGGGGAGAGAGAGGCCUCCGCUAGGGCUGGUGAUGAAGCUCUGCUACUGCGAGAAACAUCAGCUCACAGUUCUCCCUCAGCCUCCCUCUAUAAUGGUCUGGCCAGAGAAAACAGGGGUACGCUCUCUCGGCUCCAUCUGCAGAAAGAUUUAAAUUCUGUCACGUUGAGAAAAUAUGGGACGCAGGAGAAAGAGGGGUGGAACUAGGGAAAGAUCAAGUUAACAGGAGAGGGGCCUUCCAGGCAGCCCACACAAACUGAGACCCCUGAUAGGGUGAGAGAAAAGAACAGUGGACCGGCUUCUCUACUUGCGUGCGUGUUCGUACACUUGGCAAGUUGUCCUACCAUAACUCUGCUUUGUUCUUUGUCAGCCCUGUCCUUUCCUGCGUGGGAACUCUACUCCAGCCGGAGAGGCCACCUGUAGCAGCUAGAAGGAGGUCACAGCCUCCCACUGAGGUCAGAGUGUCUGCCAGAGGUCCCAACCUCUCUGGGCUCGGCUCCCAUUGUGGCUCAUAGCUUCCAGUUGGAUUUGCAGUAGCUGAUGGUGGCCGAGAAGAAGGGACGAUCCACUUCUAUGACCUGGUUACCCAGCAAGCCAUUCUUUCUCUGGAUUGCGGCCAGUCGCCACUUAUGUCGGCCGACUGGUGCCUCGCCAACACCAUCAAGGUGGGCGCGGUGACGGGCAGCGACUGGGUCAUCUGGGAUAUUACCCGCUCCAGUUACCCACAAGAGAAGAGGCCUGCCCAUGUAGAACGAGCAGGAAACUUCAGAUAACUGCUUUGUCCAUGCUUCCAAGGUCAUUUCUAUCUGGUAUCAUUGGGAUGUCCCUCCCACAUUGAAAUUGAAAUGUUAAAUGGUUAAGGUAAGGGUUAUGGUUAGGGUUUAGGGUAGGAAUGUCCCAAGGAUCCUGAAUGCUUCCAAUUACUCUGACCUUCAGAGUAUUGUGAUGCAUGUUGUGGUUGUCCGGCUGAUACCGCUGCUGCCGACGACGUCCAUGUUAAUGGCUGUGGUGAUGGUGAUAAUGGUGAUGGCAAUUACUGUAACCACGGGUGUCAUGGUCUUCCAGGUGUUCUCGGGUCAAUGAGAAUCUCUUAUCCACCACAGGAUGUCCAGGCAAGAUCAGCAGUGAGUUGUGUGUUUGGCUGUUUGCAUUUACACAGUGUGUCAGUUUCUGAGUAAUAAAAGUGUGGGAAUAAUGUUCAGUGUGGAAGUAAGGAUAACAUAACGUGCUUCCUGGUUUCUUAUGUUUAUAUGGUGGUGUUGUUGCAGCCCGUGAUGAUUGGAUCAGCCACGGUGGGGGCAGAUCUAAACUGGCAGAGAUCCCUCCCACUCUUUGUCAUUGGCGGUGACCGAAAGUUAUCUUUUUGGAUGACAGAAAUGUAAUGCACUCACUUCCUAUGGACGUAUUAGAGGUCAUGCAAAUGUACAUUGAAACUGUUUGACCCGAGGUGUGGUCGGAUAUUUCUAUUUUCAUCAUUUUUCAAUAAAGUAUUUAAU